rnacentral:miRNA from 1 species
CAGGAUGUCCAGUUAAAUUUCAAUUUCAGAAAAGCAAGAAAUGAUUUUCAGUAUAAGUAUAUCCCAUGGCAUAUUUGGGACAUACUUAUACUAAAAAAUAGCCAUUAUUUACCUGAAAUUCAGUUUUAGCUAG